rnacentral:rRNA from 1 species
AACGAACGCUGGCGGCAUGCCUAACACAUGCAAGUCGAACGAGACCUUCGGGUCUAGUGGCGCACGGGUGCGUAACGCGUGGGAACCUUCCCUUAGGUUCGGAAUAACUCCCCGAAAGGGGUGCUAAUACCGGAUAAUGUCUUCGGACCAAAGAUUUAUCGCCUUUGGAUGGGCCCGCGUUGGAUUAGCUAGUUGGUAGGGUAAAAGCCUACCAAGGCGACGAUCCAUAGCUGGUCUGAGAGGAUGAUCAGCCACACUGGGACUGAGACACGGCCCAGACUCCUACGGGAGGGAGCAGUGGGGAAUGUUGCACAAUGGGCGAAAGCAUGAUCCAGCAAUGCCGCGUGAGUGAUGAAGGCCUUAGGGUUGUAAAGCUCUUUUACCCGGGAUGAUAAUGACGGUACCGGGAGAAUAAGCCCCGGCUAACUCCGUG